GAUCCACUGAAUCCAUCCAGGAUUAUGAGAUUUGUGAUGACUAUGAGCACUAUGUUGACCAUAUCUCUCUUGCUGAAUCUGACCCUCAGACUCCAUCCGGCUACCAUGAUAUUGAUCCUCCUCCUCAGCCUGUCCUGACCGAAGAAUCAGCCAUGCCUGAUCUCCGACAUCAUAUGCCAGGAACAGAUAUUAAAACCGUCAUUGAAGCCUUGAUGUCAGAACAAAACGCCCUCAGGGAAGAUUUCCACAGCUUGAGACUUGCAGUCCUAGAACACAUGAGCAGCACGGCAAGUCAGUUACGUAUGUUACGGCAUCAUGUUAACUCUUUUACUCCUCCGGCCAGAGAUCCGAAGAUAGAUGGAAUUUAGUUAUUUCUUCAUUCUAAGUUAUUUAGUU
rnacentral:lncRNA from 1 species